rnacentral:rRNA from 1 species
UACGGAGGAGGCAAGCGUUAUCCGGAAUUAUUGGGCGUAAAGAGCUCGUAGGCGGUUUGUUGCGUCGGCUGUGAAAUCCCGAGGCUCAACCUCGGGUCUGCAGUCGAUACGAGCAAACUAGAGUGUUGCAGGAGAGACUGGAAUUCCUGGUGUAGCGGUGAAAUGCGCAGAGUAUCAGGAGGAACACCGGUGGCGAAGGCGGGUCUCUGGGCAACAACUGACGUGGAGGAGCGAAAGCGUGGGGGAGCGAACAGG